GCACACGUGCACACACACAUCUUAGUAUCUUAGAUCAGUGCUUGGCACUGUGUUAGUAUUAGCUAUGAUUAUACUCAUCUAACUUGGGUGCAGUUCUGCUUGAAGGUAGGAAAUGGAUAGUGUGACCUCUGGCAACCCCUUUUAAAUGAAGAAUUAUAGGUCUCAGAAAAAUUUAGGGCCAGCCUUUGUGGCCCUGACCCAUUGAGGUGACCCCAGCAGAACCACAUGGCAGAGGUGACCCCUCCCCCCUCCUUGGAUUCAGAGGGGAGCGCCAGCCCACGUGGCCCUGACCUGCCGAGGUGAGCCCAGCAGAACCACAUGGCAGAGGUGACCCUUCACCCCUCCUUGGACCCAGAGGGGAGCACCAGCCUGCAUGAUCCUGACCCGCCAAGGUGAGCCGAGCAGAACCAUGCCACAGAGGCAACCGCCGACCUGGAGUGGAGUGCCAGCCCACACAGCCCGACCUGCCGAGGUGUUUCUGACCAGAGCUGCCAUACAUUAGCUCUACCAGGAUGAUUGGUCAGUUGGCAUGCCACCAUACUCCAAGAACUUGCCUAGAAAGUGGCCUAGCCAAAGUUCCAAGAGCAUCUGGACACCAAGUAUCACUUCUGCAUACUUCCAUAAAUGCUAAUUCUUUAGUAGCAUUUCAGGGAAGUAAAUAGGGAAAGGCCCUAACUGGUCGCUGUAUACAUAUCUUAAUUCAGAGACAAGAGGACUGGAACACAGGAGGUAGGAAUGUAUUGCAGGACAAAAUGGAGGUUAUCUCAGGCACAGUGGAGAAGAGAUUUAAAUAUGUAAGGAACUAUGUGUAGGUAAGGUAAUAGGAAAAAUCUGGAAAAUAAAGGUGCAAAUAUAGCAAAUUUCUAAAUUUUGCUAAAAUAUAUUAAUGUUAUUUGGUUCCAUUCUUAAGAGAGGAGAUCUUGUCCAUGAGUACUAAUUUUUAAGUAGAAGAUUUAAAUUUAUACUUUGUAAAAAUCUGAGAAGCUGUCAUGGAUUGACUGACACUUCUAUCUCUUUGAUUUUCUCCUUUUUUUAUCCACAUAAUAUUAAGCUCCUGUUAUGGACUAUGUUUUCUAAUAAGAACAUAGGUCUAGGAACAUGACUGUUGCUUGGGAAAUGCUCUCGUAUAAGAGAUGGGGCUUUAGAGUGUCAGCCACUUCAGGUGUCACCUUUAGUUCAGGAUUUUAUUUUGUUUCCAAGCUUUUAUGAGAGUGGGACUGAUGUUUUAUUCUUUUAAGCUUUACGCUCAGAUAGCGACUCUUUGAACUUUAGAAAGAUGGGGCUCAUGAAAGACUUUGGAGGUGCUUUGUCACUUCCAGUGGGAGAAAUCCCAGUUUUCAGGUGCUGAAGACAUCCAGGAUCCAACAAAAUUCUUGAGAAUGAAAUCACUAUCCUUAUGAUUGAAUAUUUUCUACUGAAACUAUGUUAAAAGUCUUGUAUAUAUUGGGACUUUACUUUCUCUGGAGGAAUAAGAGCCUGAUUUGACAGGAGGAAGAGGACUGGAUAGAUAUACAUUAUUUGGAAUAUGCUUGUGAUAUUAUCUAUUGCAGAAAUAGAUGCCAGAAGGGAGAUUUUUGGUUAUCAUAUCAGAAAACUUGAAAAUUGUAGGACACAUGAGAGGCUUGGGGUUGGAAUAAUAUAACUGCUGUUAUAUUAUUAUAUAAUAUUUUAUAUAAUAUAUUGUUAUACAACAACAGUUAUAUUAUUCCAACCACACUCAUACCAGAGGAAAUCCCAGUCUACAAGUGAAGUAGGGACCUGGACUCCAACCAGGAAUUUGAAUAGUAGGAUCUGAGAAGACUGAGAAGAUAAUGGUGUGGGAAGAAAGGAAGGAACAUUUUUUUGUAAAUAUUUUGAAGGGUUAAUUUAUUUUGGAAGAAAUGGUUGAAUUGAUAGAAGGGGACUAGUAGUUUUGAAUGUUAAAAGGUGGCAGAUACUUGAAAUUUUGUGUUGGUGUCAUAUGUUAUUUGGUCUUGAUGAUGCUCUUUUAAAGUAUAAAAUGUAUAAUGUUUUAAUAAGCUUGCUAGGGUGAGGGGUUGUAUUGUUAAAUGUAGGGGGGAAUAUCAUUAAUAUUUUACAUUGAUAUUAUUGUAUUAUUUGAACUAUAAUAAUACUCAUAUUCUGAACAACAUAUAUUCUUCUCUGGUAAACUUUGUGGGAAGGGAGGGGUUGUAUAUGAGUAAACGUGAAGUGGGAAUAUUUGUGGCAUUUUAGAGUGAUGCUAUUAUUUGCAGUAUAAUGAUACUUGUGCAAUGUAUAACCUCAUAACUUAAGGUUGGUGGAAUGGGAGAGGUUGUAUAAUUAGUAACUAUACCAGUACCUGGAAGUAAAAGCAUUUAAUAAAUAUUUGUUGAUUGAAUUAA